rnacentral:tRNA from 1 species
GGCGACGUAGCCAAGUGGUAAGGCAGCUCUCUGCAAAGGAGUUAUCCAGCGGUUCGAAUCCGCUCGUCGCCU